rnacentral:rRNA from 1 species
GACGGAGGAUGCAAGCGUUAUCCGGAAUGAUUGGGCGUAAAGCGUCCGCAGGUGGCAGUUCAAGUCUGCUGUCAAAGACCGGGGCUUAACUUCGGAAAGGCAGUGGAAACUGAACAGCUAGAGUAUGGUAGGGGCAGAGGGAAUUCCUGGUGUAGCGGUGAAAUGCGUAGAGAUCCGGAAGAACACCGGUGGCGAAGGCGGUCUGCUGGGCGGUGAACUCGCAAGAGUUCAAUAGCCGACACUGAGGCGCGGACAGCGUGGGGAGCAAACGGG